rnacentral:lncRNA from 1 species
CCCGUUAACGCUGCGCUCCCCGGCCCUGUGGCACCGCGGCACCGGGGGGGGGGACAGGGGGCAGGGGGGUGCUGGAGGAUGGGGAUGGAGAAAUGAAGGCCUGCAGCCAAAGAUCUCGGCGCAGGCCAAGUCUGCUCCGCAGCAGCGCUUCCCCAAAGCCUCCCCCGGACACUGCGGAUCCACCCAGGUGGGACCUGGAGCUUCGGUCGCGCUUGGUGAUCAGCCCCUGGCAGCUUUGCACCUUGGGCACCUUGUGCAUCAGGGAAAGGAGCAGAAACGUGCCUGUGACACUGCCAUCCCCCUGGGGAGCUCGGUGCCAGCCCCGUUGAGGCGCUGCCAUCCCCGGCGAAGCAUCCCAGCAGCGCCGCCUCCGCGCGGCCCCAGCCAGCGCCCGGCUCGCGGCCCCACACAUCUGGCUGAAAGCUGUGCAGGCUGCCCUCGCUCUGAGGACACCGGCCCGGAUGCGCAUCCCUCCCGGAGAGAUUCCCCGUCCCCAGCCAGGCUCCUCUCCUCCUGGCAUCGUCCCUGCGCCAGCAGCGGGACGCACGUGGGCACUGCCGGGGAUGGGAGGCAAAGGGAUGGGGGCAAGGGGCUGGGGUGUAAAGGGAUGGGAGGUAAAGGGCUGGAUUUUAAAGGGAUGUAGGUAAGGGGCUGGGAUGUAAGGGGAUGGGAGGUAAAGGGAUGGAUGUAAAGGGCUGGGGUGUAAAAGGAUGGAUGUAAGGGGCUGGGACGGGAGGUAAAGGGCUGGGUUGU